rnacentral:rRNA from 1 species
UACGUAGGUGACAAGCGUUGUCCGGAUUUACUGGGCGUAAAGAGCGCGCAGGCGGUCGAUCAAGUCGAGUGUGAAAGCCCCCGGCUCAACUGGGGGGGGUCAUUCGAUACUGAUCGACUCGAAGGCAGGAGAGGGUAGUGGAAUUCCCGGUGUAGUGGUGAAAUGCGUAGAUAUCGGGAGGAACACCAGUGGCGAAGGCGACUACCUGGCCUGUUCUUGACGCUGAGGCGCGAAAGCUAGGGGAGCAAACAGG